CGGCGGACGGGUGAGUAACGCUUGGUGAAUCUGACUAUUAGUGGGGGACAACCCG
rnacentral:rRNA from 1 species